rnacentral:tRNA from 1 species
GCAGAGGUGGUUCACUGGUAGAAUUCUUGCCUUCGUUGCAGGAGACCCAGGUUCUACUCUCGGCCGGUGCA